CACGUAGGGGGCAAGCGUUGUCCGGAUUUAUUGGGCGUAAAGAGCUCGUAGGCGGUUCGGUAAGUCGGGUGUGAAACCUCCAGGCUCAACCUGGAGACGCCACCCGAUACUGCUGUGACUAGAGUCCGGUAGGGGAGCGUGGAAUUCCUGGUGUAGCGGUGAAAUGCGCAGAGAUCAGGAGGAACACCGGUGGCGAAGGCGGAUCUCUGGGCCAUAACUGACGCUGAGGAGCGAAAGCAUGGGGAGCGAACAGG
rnacentral:rRNA from 1 species